AGCGGAGGACGGGUUAGUAAUGCCUGUAAUAUGCUCUGAUGUGUGGGAUAACUAUUGGAAACUAUAGCUAAUACCCCAUAAUCUCUUCUGAGCAAACAUGGGGACCUUCGGGCCUCUCUCAUCACGAUUAGCCCUGGGGGGAUUAUCUUGUUGGUGAGGUAAUGGCUCACCAACGCAACGAUCCCUAACUGGUCUGAGAGGAUGAUCAGCCACACUGGAACUGACACACUCCUCCAGGACUCCUACGGGAGGCAACAGUGGGGAAUAUUGCACAAUGGGGGAAACCCUGAUGCAGCCAUGCCGCGUGUGUGAAGAAGGCCUUCGGGUUGUAAAGCACUUUCAAUAGGGAGGAAGGUAGUGUAGUUAACACCUGCACUAUUUGACGUUACCUACACAACAAACACCGGCUAACUCCGUGCCAGCAGCCGCGGUAAUACGGAGGGUGCGAGCGUUAAUCGGAAUUACUGGGCGUAAAGCGCAUGCAGGCGGCCUGUUAAGUCAGAUGUGAAAGCCCGGGGCUUAACCUCGGAAUUGCGUUUGAAACUGGCACG
rnacentral:rRNA from 1 species